CCCCCCCCCAGAUGCACAGGUCAACGACAUUGUUCUUCUGAAGGAUGAUGGGAUGCCACGAAACAAAUGGAAGUUGGCCAAGGUCAUGCAAGUUCAUCCUGGGAAGGAUGGGAGAGUGAGGACACUCAAGUUAUUACUCAGUGAUCCAACGCUGGAUAAAAUGGGAAGAAGCACUUCCAAACCAGUCUACCUGGAGAGGCCUAUUCAGAAGACGGUCACACUGUUGGAAGCAGACUAAAGACCACAGUGUACCAUUCUCUCACUCUGUGUUAUUAGCUGGCCUUGUUGAUUAUUAUUGAUUUGUUACAUGAUAAUAUUUGAAAGUAAUGUUCACAAACACUAUAUGUCUCCCAUAAAUGGUUCAAAGAAAAUCACUCGUGAUUUGGUGGGAGUGUAACUGCCUACAUGUCAGUUUAAUUAAUUCUCAUUUAUUUAUUUUUUAGUUCCUACCUGCCUUUCAGUUUGAGGGGGCAUUGUUUUGUAUUUGUUUCCACACGGCACAACUUAGCGACACACCACCUGGCAGAGCAUGGCAAGGGAGAAACAUCACGGUCGGUUGUCUCCACACUCGGUAAAGUUGAUUUAAGAUAAAGAGUUAAGACAUUACAUGUAAACAAAGAAGACGAAGACAGAAGAAAAUACAAGAUUCAGCCCUUUUGGUAGUGUGCAGCCUACGAGUUCUCACGGGUCGGUCGGUGACUGUGAAUAAACCCUGUUCUUAAA